rnacentral:tRNA from 1 species
UGAGUUGAAGCUGAAAUAAUAGCAUUUGGCCGUUAACCAAAAGGAUGGAGAUUCAAACCUCUCAACUCAG